rnacentral:misc_RNA from 1 species
GUUUAUAAAAACGAACCCGACUGCUCUCUCGCAAGAGAGAGCGUUGCUCUGGGCGCUCGUGUCUCUAUCUCUACGCGCCGCUCUCUUCUUCUAUUCGAAGUUUAGAGAGAGUGUAGCAGAGUGUGAUGAUACGUCGCCUCAAACGAAACGCAAGAAAAAAGAUGAAUUCGUUCGUCUAGCUGGCGCGCGCGCUUACCGCUUGGAGAGUACGCGAGUACUUCCGAUCGUUCUGCGUCGAGUCCCGGAGCUUUCUCGACGUUCACUCGUCGAGCCAGCGGACCGACGUCUAGCACACGAUCAGGCUCGUCCAUGCAUCGGUCAUUGAACGCGCGCGUGCCCUUUUACGCACACGCACGCACAGAACACGCACACUCGUUGUGUCGUGCUGCUGCUGCUGCUGCUGCUGCUGCGUAUCAAAAUGGCUAGCUCGAAGCUGCUGCUGCUUAAUUGCUGUGUGCUGUGAACGAGUCUUUUUUCUCGAU